ACGUAGGGGGCGAGCGUUAUUCGGAAUUACUGGGUGUAAAGGGUAUGUAGGCGGUUCCUCAAGUCGUGUGUAAAAGUCCAGAGCUCAACUCUGGGUUCGCGCACGAUACUGAGGAACUUGAGGGCUGGAGAGGUGAGCGGAAUUCCCGGUGUAGUGGUAAAAUACGUAGAUAUCGGGAGGAACACCAGCGGCGUAGGCGGCUCACUAGACAGUUUCUGACGCUAAGAUACGAAAGCGUGGGGAGCAAACAG
rnacentral:rRNA from 1 species